AGAGUUAAACAGUAUGUGAAAUUGUUGAAAGGGAAACGCUUAAAGUCAGAUAUCUUCUGUAGAAAUCAACCUGACUUUGGUUAGGUGCACUUUCUUGCUUUGCAGGUUAGCAUCAAUUUUAGUUGUCAUCAAAGAAUUGGGGAAAUGUGGCUUCUUUUCGGAGAAGUGUUAUAGACCUUGAUAGAUGUGACGACUUGGAUUGAGGAUUGCAGCGGAUGCCUUUGGCUAGUCACCUGUCUUCUGACGGUCACCUCGCUUUUGACAGCUUGCUGAUGAUUGUGGGAUUUGGCGGUCUAGAAGUUAGAAUGAUCAUAAAUUCGCUAAGGAUGCUGACGUAAUGGCUUUAAACGA
rnacentral:misc_RNA from 1 species